rnacentral:lncRNA from 1 species
AUCCCUUUUCCAUGUAAAUUACCAUUUUUCAAACUUUGUUAAGAUCCAUGAAGUCUCACAAUUUGCAGGCUACCAUUCUGUUAAAUAAAGUUGAGGUUUUAUCCAAUUGUUUCAUAUUCUUAUUUGUUUCUACUUUAAAAUUGAAUUUUUAUGAUGAUAAUAUUGAAAUAAAUAAAUCAAUGAACAAUCAUUUUUCCUAAAUAAUAAGGCAUUUACUUUAAGAACGGUCAAUUUUAAAAGAAGAAUGUCAAUAUCAAUCUAAACAACGGUAAGUCUUAAUAUGUGAAGCAUUGUUGGUCUUCCCCGAGCAAUUGUUUGGUGACUUUACU